CUACCAUCUCAAGAUCACUCAAAAUCAUUUUGUUUUUCUAUAUAAUUUUUCCCUCGCAUUACACAAUAAAAGGUGUAUUCAAGAAUAGCUUAGUCUACCAUCUCAAGAUCAGUCUCAGCGUCUUUAAGGAGCAAGAAAAGUGUGUGGAAGGUUCAUUAUUUUCUCCGCCGGACAUGUGUGUACCUUUUCCUCGAGCCAUUGUCAAAAAAAAAAAAAAA